GAGUCGCUUAUUCAGGGAGGGAGGAGAUGUUUCUUAAUAUGGAUGAAAAUGUUCAAAUUAGUCUAUUACAUUUAGCAAAUGCAAACGCUACAGCAAGGCGUUUGUGAGAUAAAUGAAUGAAGAAAUUUAAAACAACUUUUUCCACAUUGCAUUACAACUACAAAGCUGACGCUGGAUUGCUAAAUGAGUUUAUUUUAAUUGAAAUAGCAUGGCUUGUUAGCUAGUUAGCCAUAGUUUUCUGUCUAGACUCUAGCCUGUAACUAAUGGUUAUUAGAACAGAGCAAUAGUUAUUUGUACUUGUCAUUUGGUUGAGACUAACGUUAGUUAGAAAAUAAUUGUUUACUUUGUGUAUAUUUGUUGUGUAAUUGGUUGGCUUUGCUAGUUAGCAAGCUGAGAUUGAUUUGCUCAAAUUGUCUUAACUUAGCUAUUGGCUAAUGUUUUAAGAGAACAGGCUAGCUCCCUGCAGAAUCUAGAGUAGAGAGUUGUGGGAUAAGAUCUGUCUGGUGCAGUGCCCAGACGAGCCACAACAUCAUAAUCAAGUACUCAAGCAUCCGCAGACCAGCGAGGAGGAGGAACGUGUAUAGAACAUGAAUUACUAGCUCGGUUAUAUCAGAGACAUUUUAUUGGCUUGCUAAAUGAGCUGCUUUUCCUGAAAAUGUGUGUUUGAUAAAGCUACACUCUUAGACGAAAAUGUGCUAUUGCGACCUGGAAUGAAACCCCAAAAUGGUUCUACCUGGAACCAAAAAGGGUUAUACUAUGGGGACAGCUGAAGAACCCUUUUUUUCUAAGUGUAUCUAGUUGUUCUAUUGCAAUGUCCAUGUUACAGCCACAAGUUGAUGAUCAGGUAGUCAAGCGCCUGAAGAUCAGCAGGCAGGAGAAAAGCCUGCUAUGGAUGAGCAAGCUAGAACAAUAACAACUAGCUCUAUCAGAUAAACAUGUUCAGGAAAAGCAGGGAGUGAGCUAGUAGUAGUAGUGACAUUAUUAUUAUUUGAAACCUCACAUGCUCAUAGUCUGUAUCUGUGUUAUUUUUAAGCAAUCAGGCACCUCGGGUUUGUGCUAUAUGGCCAAUAUACCAUGGCUAAGGGCUGUUCUUAUGCACGAUGCAAUGCAGAGUGCCUGGAUACAGCCCUUAGCCCUGCUAUAUUGGCCAUAUACCCCAAACCCCUGACGUGCCUUAUUUCUAUUAAAAACGGUUUACAAACGUAAUUACAACAGUAAACAAGUAUUAUUGACUCAUACCUGUGGUAUACGGUCUGAUAUAUAUACCAUGGCUUGUUACAGUAUCUGUCAUGUUGUACUGAUCAUCAAUACGAACAAGAACUGAAUUCUGUUGAAUUGUCAACUGGUCUAAAUUCUUAUUAGGAAGAUGUUGUUCAGAAAGACAUGUGUAUAUGACUGUUGGAUGUUCACAGGAAUCUCCAAAUGCCAUGUUGAACGAGCACCACGGAUGAAGGAGGCGGAGGAAAACAGAACAUUUAUUAUUUUGUGUUUUGUACUGUUACUUUUUACAUGCUGAAACAGUGUCAUUAGUUUUGAGCUAGACUAUGAUAGGGGAAAUGUCUACUGUAAAUGUCUACUACCUUUUUUUAAAUGGGGUUGAUGAAUGAAAAUAGCAUGUUUUUGAAUAGUUUUGUUUCUACUGUCUGGUGAGGAAGUGAGCAAUAUGGAAUUACAUUGGAGGAGGAAGGGAGAUUUAAUGGGCUAUUUUCAAAACAUUGGAUUACCAACUUGGAGUGGUGCCGUCUCAGUUUGCAACACAUUUUCACAUGGACAUAUAUAUAUACACUGAACAAAAAUAUAAAUGCAACAUGUAAAGUGUUGGUCUCAUGUUUCAAGAGCUGAAAUAAAAGAUCCCAGACAUUUUCCAUA